rnacentral:rRNA from 1 species
GAUGAACGCUGGCGGCGUGCCUAACACAUGCAAGUCGAGCGAUUCUCUUCGGAGAAGAGCGGCGGACGGGUGAGUAACGCGUGGGUAACCUGCCCUGUACACACGGAUAACAUACCGAAAGGUAUGCUAAUACGGGAUAACAUGAGAGAGUCGCAUGGCUUUCUUAUCAAAGCUCCGGCGGUACAGGAUGGACCCGCGUCUGAUUAGCUAGUUGGUGAGGUAAUGGCUCACCAAGGCGACGAUCAGUAGCCGACCUGAGAGGGUGAUCGGCCACAUUGGAACUGAGACACGGUCCAAACUCCUACGGGAGGCAGCAGUGGGGAAUAUUGCACAAUGGGCGAAAGCCUGAUGCAGCAACGCCGCGUGAGCGAUGAAGGCCUUCGGGUCGUAAAGCUCUGUCCUCAAGGAAGAUAAUGACGGUACUUGAGGAGGAAGCCCCGGCUAACUACGUGCCAGCCGCCGCCGUAA